CCGACAAUCGUUCUAAUGAUACGGCGGCUUCACCUGCCAUUAUUACAGCGUGUGGAAAACACGUCGCGCAAGUAUGUUGUAGUAUAUUGAAUAGAUUCGCCAAUACAAAUGUUAUUUGAGCGGUGAGGGAGUUUCCCAUCAAUACAAAAGUUAUCAGCGUCAAAUAUAACGUGACUCGUUCAGAGAAUACGAUUAUACUCAAGUAAAUACCCCUGAGCGAUUUUUGACCUGAGCCUUCCGCUGAUCCGACUCAAAUAUCCCUGGAUCGGAAUCGUUUGCAACACCAUAGCGCCCAAUCCGACGAUUGUAGCAACGCCGACCGAUUGCCACAUCACAAAACUCAUGACCAAAAUCUACGAGAAUUAUAAUGGUCAUAGCUGAC
rnacentral:misc_RNA from 1 species